ACCUACGGGACGCAGCAGUGAGGAAUAUUGCGCAAUGGGCGAAAGCCUGAUGCAGCGACGCCGCGUGAGCGAAGAAGGCCUUCGGGUCGUAAAGCUCUGUCCUAUGGGAAGAAAGAUGACGGUACCAUAGGAGGAAGCCCCGGCUAACUACGUGCCAGCAGCCGCGGUAAUACGUAGGGGGCGAGCGUUGUCCGGAAUUACUGGGCGUAAAGGGUACGCAGGCGGCCAUGUAAGUCAGAUGUGAAAGGUCACGGCUCAACCGUGGUAAGCAUUUGAAACUGUGUGGCUUGAGUUAAGGAGAGGAAAGUGGAAUUCCUGGUGUAGCGGUGAAAUGCGUAGAUAUCAGGAGGAAUACCAGUGGCGAAGGCGACUUUCUGGACUUAAACUGACGCUGAGGUACGAAAGCGUGGGGAGCAAACAGGAUUAGAUACCCCUGUAGUCCC
rnacentral:rRNA from 1 species